ACCGAGUUUCUCCUACCCUUGUCUAGAGUGACUUUGUGUAUGGGGCGUAGGCCCUAGCUAUUCAAAGCAUUCGCCCUUAUUCAUAGACUUCAGUGCAAUUUGAAUCAUGCAAUUGACAAGUCUUCUUCAACCAAACACCAAUCAUUCAACACCUAAACAAGUGAAGCACCAUUGCACUUUAAUCAUUCCUUCCUAAGUGGAUCAUCAAUCAUACUCUCUUUGGUAUUUAGAUACCCUUUGGAUCAUCA
rnacentral:lncRNA from 1 species